AAGAGAGGGCCCAAUGAGAGGAAACAAUUCACAAUAUUAUACAAUUAAAAGGCUAUAAGGACUUUAUCUCAAAGAACAAUUGACAUUUCCUAAAAUUUAAUAUAAAAUGAACAUAAAACUAGCUCUUAUCAUACACAAAUUUACUUCCUUGUCUUAGACUAGACAGAGCUUAAACAAAUAUUAACGUCAAUAGCACCAACUCAGCACUUCUUUUGUGGCCUAAAUUUCUCUUACCAAGCACGCCCAUAAAUAGGAAUACACCCUCAUGGUCUUGCCUAAUACUCAAUAUUUAAGCCUCUCCUAAUAUGCAGACCAUGCCCAAUUUUCUCAACCAUACAAACUUCACACCUCAUCCAAGGCAUCCACAGCCGAUGACAAUGAUGGCAUGACUGGACCACGACUGAACGUGUGUGGUGCAUAAGUUUUCUCUUACAUCAUGGAUCUUAUCCUAUUUCAUGCACUGGGAUUGGGUGGCAUUGGAAAAAUUGUAUCGGAACAUAUAUGGACUAAGGCAGAGGCUUGUCGGCCACUAUGCUUAUGUCGUGUCCAAAGGAGUGAAGUCCACAGGCUCACGCAUUAGUAUGGACAACAAGGUAUUGGGACUCGUCAUGGUCCUCUUGCCGUCGUGGUAGUUGCGUCGUUACCAUGCCACCGCAGAGACCGAUCAAACGCGGAGGGCCACUUCCCGAUCCUGUUUAUGAUACAACCCUUCUCGUCAAAGGGAAACUCAUCCUACGCACCGAUAUCGCAUCCUAACCCCACUGUAGUUGUCGUCGUCGUCGUGUAUGCCCUUUGAUCGUGACAUCGAACAGUCGUUACAUACGGCAUCAAUGUGUACAACCCCUCUCAUGGAGCCAUAGCGUUCCACCUACAUAGGAGCAAGGUCUAGUUGUUGCCGCUAAAGGCGGGUGCUGAAGGCGAGUUGAGAGUGUUGCGUCAAUGGAUCUAUCAAUUUGUGAAGAAGGAUCGUGUGACACUUUAUAUGAUGUGUGUAAUCAUUGUCCACCGAAGUCAAUGUCCGGUGUUUGAGUGAAGAUGAUACUCAAUGUGUAGAGAAGGAAAAAGAAUCUAUAGACGUUAUUGAGUUAGAGGAUGAUGAUACAAAAUUGAGUCAUGAGUUGCUGGAUCACACUGAAAUUCAACUAGAAGAAAUCUCCUACGUAGGAUUGCGAUUUGUUUCGUUGCAGUGGGCACAAGAAUUCUAUUCUAAUUAUGCAAAGAAGGUUGGGUUCAUCACUAAGAUUAGGAUAACUAAUUUUGAUAAGACAAGAAAGGAAUUAAUGAUACCCAUUAAUCAAUCGAUACAUUACAAUCGUGAAGGUUAUCAGGAGUCUCGAGUGAAGGCAACAUUUCGGGUAAAGAAAAUAACAACCGUGAAAUGCAAAGCAAGGCUGUACAUGAUGUUUGAUAGGCAGAAGGAUAAUUAGAUGGUGUCAAAAUUAGAAUUUAAGCAUAUCCAUCCGUGUUUUGUUAAGCAAUUUGCCCAUUACCACAAGUACAGAGAACUGACCAUGUAUGUCAAGUGUGUGAUCGAGGACAACGAUGAGGCUGGCAUAUGGCCCAACAAGACGUACCUCGCACUGGCAAAUGAGGUUGGUGGGUCAUCGAAUUUAGGUUACUCAGAAAUGGAUGUGAGAAAUUGCAUUACAAGCAAUUUGUGCUUUACUGACGAAAAUGCCGAUGUUAAGGAAAUAUGGAGCUAUUUCUUGCGAACGAAAAGAGAUCAACCUGAAUUUCUUUUAUGUAAUAGAUGUUGACGCAACUAACAAGUUUAAGAGUGUGCUUUGGAUAGAUGCAAGGUGUAGGACAUCCUACGAAUAUUAUGGAGACGUGGUGUCAUUUGAUAUAACAUAUAGUAGAAACAAGCAUAGACUACCAUUUGCAUCUUUUGUUGGUGUCAACCAUCACGGGAAGUCCACUUUGCUUCGAUGUGCUUUGCUAAGGAAUGAGAAAAUACACAGUUUUGAGUAGGUCUCUACGCAAUGGCUGAAGUGCAUGGGAAUUUCCCCACAGGCCACCAUCACAGAUUAGUGCAAGUCCAUGUUUAGUGCUAUUAGGAAUCUCCUUUCAAAUACUUGCCACCGAUGGUGCAUAUGGAACAUAUUGAAGAAGAUACCACAUAAGUUCGGAAGAUAUGUUCGGUACAGAAAAAUACAUCCUAAAAUGACUAGCACUGUAUGGAAUGCUCGAUCUGUAGAAUCUUUCAAGAAAGAUUGGACUGAAUUCAUUGCUAAGUUUAAGCUAGAGCACAACAGAUGGCUAUCAAGUUCGUUUUGUCAUGUGCUUGUAUGUUCUUUUUGUGAGUAUAUUACUUGUAAAACUUUUUUCAGUAUACUGGAUUUUAGGUACCAUUCAAAUCGGAUGAUUUAUAACUUGUUUGGAUGCUUUAUGGGAUAUCUGUGUUUGAAGGUCGAUGGAUGUUUGGUUUACAAAAUCUAUAAAUAUGUAUGAUGAUGUAUCUAAGUAUUCUUGUUGGUGGUUUUUGCAUUUUUUUUCUAAAAAUUUAUAACGAUCAACGAAUGUGGGUUCCAGUAUUUUUCCAAGGUGAAUUUUGGGCUGGUAUGAAGAGUACUCAGAGGAGUGAAAAGUAUGCACGCAUUUUACGGGGGUUUCUUGCAUUGCAAGAGUGGAUUGGUUCAGUUCGUGCAUAAGUAUAACAACGUGCUUGUGAACGAGGAACAAAAGGAACUAGAGGACGAUUAUGCAGACUCUAAAGGAGCUGACCCCUGCUCAUCCAGCUCUAUAAUUGAAAGACAAUUUCAACGUGAGUAACAAGCUCUAUGUUUAGGAAAGUACAAUAAGAAUUCAGGAAAAAAGGCGAUUGUUUAAUCCGUGGUGUGACUCAAGAGGGAGUCUAUGUACUACACUAACAGUCUUGAGUUUGACCCAUUAACACACAAGAUUCGGUACGAGUUCAACAUGUUUGAAUCAAGAAGUAUUCUUUGUUGCCACUGUCUUGAUGUGUUUUCAUAUUACAAAGUAUAUAGAGUACUAUCUUACUAUAUUUUCCCUCGAUGGAGCAAGAAUGUACAAUACAAACACACUUACAUCAAGAGUAGCCAUGACAAGAAUCGAUCGAAUGAAAGUCCCAACUUAUUCAGAGGAUUGUGUUCACACUUUAUAAAUUGCCCAAGAUUUCAUGACUUGUGAUGAAGAAGCGGCCAUGUUAUAUUUGGCUCUUGACAAUGUGAGGGCUAAGCUGGUUGAUUAUCGUGCGAACUUAGGGUCCAGAAGUAUUGCAACUACACAAGACAUCAUCGUGACGUAGUAUAAGUUCGCUCUUGGUGCAGAUAAUAUUCAAGGUCCUUCAAAGGUGGCAACCAAGGUUUGGCCGAGAUUGAGGAGGCUUGGAUCUAAAUUGGACAGCUCGAUCAAGAAAUCUAUGCGAAGAAAGAAGAAAAAUGCACCUCCGGUAUAUGUUUACCAUUUGUUUAAUUUUGAACCCUUUGUUGAGGUGACUUUAUGGAUAUAGUUGACUCAAUUCUUUUGUGCAUGGUACUUUUUUCUAGGAGAAUGAUGUAGCAGUCACUCGAAAUGUAGUGGUUGGUUUUGUUGUUAGAGCGAAUAAAUCACAAGAACAUUGC